AACCCACAGCUGCAAUAUUGGAAACACAUCGCAAAACAGAAGCAACUUGCUUUUCUUUCUACAAUGCAUAGAAGACCAUCGUCUGCAGUUUCUCCAACUCAGAAUUGGAAAAAUCAUAAACUCGUAACAAAAAAUAAUCUUAGAACUUCAGACCAGGAGUGAGGAGACAGCCUGUGACUCCACUUCUGCCCAGAGAGCCAGACACAAGGCACAAGCGAGUGUCAAUACCAACAGCAUCACAGUACCAGGCUAUGCACAACCCCUUGAUUUCUCUCCACAGCGUCCACCGUGAAUGCCAACCUAUUCCUGUGAAACACAUUUUGAGGAGAAUAAAGACAAUACCAUGGAAUCCCAGGGGUUGAUUGACCAAAGCUGCAGACCGACAGACAGGCCUGCCUUCAGUGGCUGGAAAAGAUGGUUAAGGCUUAUUCUAAUUGAAAAUCGACAUCCAUUGUGAACAGAGAGGUCAGCGGGCUCUCAUACAAACACUACAACAUCGAGUUUUGCAGUCCUGGUGAGAGGUGAGAUUAACAGCUCAUUUGAGAUUUGGGAACACUUGAUUGAUCAUGAGAGAUCUGAAGUUGAUCAGAUGAAGGGAUCAUAGAAGCAGCUCUCAACCUGGCCACUCCGUUCUGCGUCUGAGACAGCAGCAGUGUGGUAAUAAGUCUGCUGAUUCCUGUGUCUUUUUCACUGUCUGCUCUAACACAGAAGUACAUGGACAGACACAGGAAGCUGCCUUUAGGAUCCAGAUGCUAGGUGAAAUGCAUUUUUGUAGGUUACAUAUUGCAGAAGGGGG
rnacentral:lncRNA from 1 species